rnacentral:rRNA from 1 species
UACGAGGGGGGCGAACGUUGUUCGGAAUUAUUGGGCGUAAAGGGUGCGUAGGCGGUUUGGUAAGUCUGAUGUGAAAUCUAUGGGCUCAACUCACAGUCUGCAUCGGAAACUGCCGUGCUGGAGUGCGGAAGAGGUGAGUGGAAUUCCCGGUGUAGCGGUGAAAUGCGUAGAGAUCGGAAAGAACACCAACGGCGAAAGCACUCUGCUGGGCCGACACUGACACCGAGAGACGAAAGCUAGGGGAGCGAAUGGG